AGAGUUUGAUCCUGGCUCAGAGCGAACGCUGGCGGCAGGCUUAACACAUGCAAGUCGAGCGGGCGUAGCAAUACGUCAGCGGCAGACGGGUGAGUAACGCGUGGGAACAUACCUUUUGGUUCGGAACAACCCAGGGAAACUUGGGCUAAUACCGGAUAAGCCCUUACGGGGAAAGAUUUAUCGCCGAAAGAUUGGCCCGCGUCUGAUUAGCUAGUUGGUGAGGUAAUGGCUCACCAAGGCGACGAUCAGUAGCUGGUCUGAGAGGAUGAUCAGCCACAUUGGGACUGAGACACGGCCCAAACUCCUACGGGAGGCAGCAGUGGGGAAUAUUGGACAAUGGGCGCAAGCCUGAUCCAGCCAUGCCGCGUGAGUGAUGAAAGGCCCUAGGGUUGUAAAGCUUC
rnacentral:rRNA from 1 species